CCAAAUGACUCUCGGCAACGGAUAUCUCGGCUCUCGCAUCGAUGAAGAACGUAGCGAAAUGCGAUACUUGGUGUGAAUUGCAGAAUCCCGUGAACCAUCGAGUUUUUGAACGCAAGUUGCACCCGAAGCCGUCAGGCCAAGGGCACGUCUGCCUGGGUGUCAUGC
rnacentral:rRNA from 1 species